AAGUAAUUAAUUUUAAAAUUUUCUAAAAUUUUUUUAUUUUUUUUAAUAUUUAUCUUGUAUUUAUUAUUUUUCUAUGUUAAUAUAAAUUAACAAACAAAAUGAGAUGAUUUAUUUUCUUUAUGGUUUGUAUUUUUUAUAUAAUUUGGAGGUUCACAAUGAACGGAAUAGUAAAAUGGUUUAACAGCGAAAAAGGAUUUGGAUUCAUAUCUGUAGAAGGUGGAGAUGACGUAUUCGUACACUUCUCAGCUAUACAAGGUGAAGGAUUCAAAACAUUAGAAGAAGGACAAGCAGUUAGCUUUGAAAUAGUUGAAGGAGCUAGAGGUCCUCAAGCUGCUAACGUAAACAGAAUAUAAUUUAUUUUUAAUAUAGAUUUA
rnacentral:sRNA from 1 species